AUGCUGGCUGCUACUUUAUUACCAAUGAAAGCCAAAAGAAGAAGAAGAAGAAGAAGAAGAAGAAAGGAAUACUACUUGAUCAGUUCAGCAGUUGGUGUCGUUUCCACCUAUAAUCUUUGGUUCGUAUCAUUUGAAAUCACUUUGGGAAAACAGCCUUGGCAGGAAAAUAAGUGCAAUGACAGGUCUGCUGUUUUGGACAAAAGUAGAUGCUUUGCCUGGCCUGCAAGGGCCAUUGAUGCACAAGCUCCAAAUCUUAUCUCCUUGCUGCUUUCUGCAAAGCAUCAGAUGCUCUCUCUGGUACUCCACGCGACCUAA
rnacentral:rRNA from 1 species